rnacentral:rRNA from 1 species
ACGAGGGUGACAGGUGGUGCAUGGUUGUCGUCAGCUCGUGUCGUGAGAUGUUGGGUUAAGUCCCGCAACGAGCCGCAACCCUCGUCCUAUGUUGCCAGCGGGUCAUGCCGGGGACUCAUGGGAGACUGCCGGGGUCAACUCGGAGGAAGGUGGGGAUGACGUCAAUCAUCAUGCCCCUUAUGUCUUGGGCUUCACGCAUGCUACAAUGGCCGGUACAAAGGGCUGCGAUACCGCGAGGUGGAGCGAAUCCCAGAAAGCCGGUCUCAGUUCGGAUUGGGGUCUGCAACUCGACCCCAUGAAGUCGGAGUCGCUAGUAAUCGCAGAUCAGCAACGCUGCGGUGAAUACGUUCCCGGGCCUU